rnacentral:lncRNA from 1 species
GCAUUUAGUUACCUUCUCCUUGUUUAUGGGUAAUGAAGACAAAAAAUAAGAAUAAAAACAAAGAUUUUCGUGCAAUGACUUAUCCCAGCUUAAACACAGAUCAUAAAUAUGUUUAACUUCAAGCAGAGUCAAACUCGGGGGGAAGAAAGAGUUACACAAAGACAUGAUUCCUGUAAUAAAUAAUAUUAGUAUGUAUCCUAUAUUAAGUGCUCUCCUUUGCAAAUCAUCAGAAAAUUGUGAAAGAGCAGCAUGCAUAUGCAUACAAGUCUUAAACUCCUUUGUCAGAAAUUGAACUUUGCACGCACCUACACACAAGCAUUUUCUUGUGGGACUAUAAGCGGUUGAGUAUCUUUGUGCUCAAAGC